ACCUGCUCAAUGACGAGUGUUAAAUGGCCGCGGUAUUCUGACCGUGCAAAGGUAGCAUAAUCAUUAGUUUUUUAAUUGAAAGCUUGUAUGAAAGGUUUGAUGAAAAAAAAGCUGUCUCUGUUUAAAUUUUUUAGAAAUUUAUUUUUAAGUUAAAAAGCUUAAAUUAGUAUUAAAGACGAGAAGACCCUAUAGAGUUUUAUAAUUUUACGGAAUUAUUAUAUUUUGGAAUAUUUUUAAUAAUUUUUUGGAAUUAUUUAGUUGGGGUGAUUAAAAAAUUAACUAAACUUUUUUAUAUAGAAUUUCAUUGAUUUAUGAAUUUUUGAUCUUUAUUAAAGAUUAAUAGAUAAAAUUACCUUAGGGAUAACAGCGUAAUUUUUUUUUAGAGUCCUUAUCAAAAGAAAAGAUUGCGACCUCGAUGUUGGAUUAAAAUUAAUUAUUGGUGUAGAAGCUAAUAAGAAAGGUCUGUUCGACCAUUGAAUUUUU
rnacentral:rRNA from 1 species